GACGAACGCUGGCGGCGUGCUUAACACAUGCAAGUCGAACGGAAAGGCCCUGCUUUUGUGGGGUGCUCGAGUGGCGAACGGGUGAGUAACACGUGAGUAACCUGCCCUUGACUUUGGGAUAACUUCAGGAAACUGGGGCUAAUACCGGAUAGGAGCUCCUGCUGCAUGGUGGGGGUUGGAAAGUUUCGGCGGUUGGGGAUGGACUCGCGGCUUAUCAGCUUGUUGGUGGGGUAGUGGCUUACCAAGGCUUUGACGGGUAGCCGGCCUGAGAGGGUGACCGGCCACACUGGGACUGAGAUACGGCCCAGACUCCUACGGGAGGCAGAAGUGGGGAAUAUUGCACAAUGGGCGGAAGCCUGAUGCAGCAACGCCGCGUGCGGGAUGACGGCCUUCGGGUUGUAAACCGCUUUCGCCUGUGACGAAGCGUGAGUGACGGUAAUGGGUAAAGAAGCACCGGCUAACUACGUG
rnacentral:rRNA from 1 species